rnacentral:rRNA from 1 species
CCCCUAGACGUUCUGGGCUGCACGCGCGCUACAAUAAUACGCACAGCGAGUAUCACCGAGCUCGAAAGGGCAAGGUAAACAAUAGAGAAGGUACUGUAAUGGUUAUAGAUCCUUGUAAUUAUUGAUCUUCAACGAGGAAUUCCUAGUAAGUAUGUGUCAUCAUCACGCACUGAUUACGUCCCUGCCCUUUGUACACACCGCCCGUCGCUCCUACCGAUUGGGUGAGCCGAUGAAACUCUCGGAUGUAGGCUAUUCAUAGCCCGCAGAAGAGAUUUGAAUCGUAGCGCUUAGAGGAAGGAGAAGUCGUAACA